rnacentral:rRNA from 1 species
UAGGGAAUAUUGCACAAUGGGCGAAAGCCUGAUGCAGCAACGCCGCGUGCGCGAUGAAGGCCUUCGGGUCGUAAAGCGCUUUUCGGGGAGAUGAGGAAGGACAGUAUCCCCGGAAUAAGUCUCGGCUAACUACGUGCCAGCAGCCGCGGUAACACGUAGGAGGCAAGCGUUAUCCGAAUUUACUGGGCGUAAAGCGCGUGCAGGCGGUUCGGUAAGUUGGAUGUGAAAUCUCCCGGCUCAACUGGGAGAGGUCGUUCAAUACUGUCGGACUAGAGGAUGGUAGAGGGAGGUGGAAUUCCCGGUGUAGUGGUGAAAUGCGUAGAUAUCGGGAGGAACACCAGUGGCGAAGGCGGCCUCCUGGACCAUUCCUGACGCUCAGACGCGAAAGCUAGGGGAGCGAACG